rnacentral:lncRNA from 1 species
AAAUAACCAACAUGCAAACUCACAUAGUGGAAUAACAUCUCUCUUCAUAAAUGGUAAACAGUGAUAAUUCCGAUAAAUCAUCUACCACAAAAUAUCAUUUUGGGCUCUAAGGCCACUCAACAUCAAAACCAACAUAUCCAAAUAACAAGAUAAAAGAGAGCACAAUAAUAUCUCUCAACAUCAAAACAAAUACAAAUAAUCCCAUAAACCCAAGUGUUACAUGACCAGAGCACUAUAGGCUACCUAGUCAAAACACAACAAGAACUA